AUACGGAGGAUCCGAGCGUUAUCCGGAUUUAUUGGGUUUAAAGGGUGCGCAGGCGGCCAUUUAAGUCAGCGGUUAAAUCGUGGGGCUCAACCCCAUUCUGCCGUUGAUACUGGGUGGCUUGAUUGCGGUCGAGGUUGGCGGAAUUCGUUGUGUAGCGGUGAAAUGCAUAGAUAUGACGAAGAACACCGAUUGCGUAGGCAGCUGACCAGACCGCAAAUGACGCUCAUGUACGAAAGUGCGGGGAUCGAACAGGAUUAGAUACCCUGGUAGUCCGCACAGUAAACGAUGAAUACUUGUUUUCGGCGAUAUAAUGUCGGAGGCAAAGCGAAAGCGAUAAGUAUUCCACCUGGGGAGUACGCCGGCAACGGUGAAACUCAAAUGAAUUGACGGGG
rnacentral:rRNA from 1 species